GACGAACGCUGGCGGCGUGCUUAACACAUGCAAGUCGAACGGAAAGGCCCUGCUUUUGUGGGGUGCUCGAGUGGCGAACGGGUGAGUAACACGUGAGUAACCUGCCCUUGACUUUGGGAUAACUUCAGGAAACUGGGGCUAAUACCGGAUAGGAGCUCCUGCUGCAUGGUGGGGGUUGGAAAGUUUCGGCGGUUGGGGAUGGACUCGCGGCUUAUCAGCUUGUUGGUGGGGUAGUGGCUUACCAAGGCUUUGACGGGUAGCCGGCCUGAGAGGGUGACCGGCCACAUUGGGACUGAGAUACGGCCCAGACCCCUACGGGAGGCAGCGGGGGGGAAUAUUGCACAAUGGGCGGAAGCCGGAUGCAGCAACGCCGGGUGCGGGAGGACGGCCUUCGGGUUGUAAACCGCUUUCGCCUGUGACGAAGCGUGAGUGACGGUAAUGGGUAAAGAAGCACCGGCUAACUACGUG
rnacentral:rRNA from 1 species